rnacentral:rRNA from 1 species
GACGAACGCUGGCGGCAUGCUUAACACAUGCAGGUCGAACGGAACGGCCCGGCUUGCUGGGUCACCGAGUCGCGAACCGGGGGAAAAUACGUGUGGGUUCUGCCUAACACUUCGAGAUAGGCCUUAAUAACUGGGACUGAUACCGGACAAGAGCCAUUUCGACUUUGGUGGGGGGAAAGUUGUUUUGGUGUGGGGUGAGCUUGCGGCCUCGCAGCUUGUUGGUGGGGUAAUGGUUUACCAAGGCGGAGACGCGGAGCCGGCCUGGGAGGGUGGACGGGCACAGUGGGACUGGGACAGGGCCAAGACUCAGACGGGAGGGAGCAGUGGGGAAGAUUGCAAAAUGGGAGCAAGCCUGAUGCUGCGACGCCGCGUGGGGGAUGACGGUCUUCGGGUUGGAAUCGCAUUUCGCUAGGGACGAAGCUUUUUGUGACGGUACCUGGAGAAGAAGCACCGGCUAACUACGUG